rnacentral:rRNA from 1 species
GCUAGUAAUCGCAGAUCAGAAUGCUGCGGUGAAUACGUUCCCGGGCCUUGUACACACCGCCCGUCACACCAUGGGAGCCGGUAAUACCCGAAGUCAGUAGUCUAACCGCAAGGGGGACGCUGCCGAAGGUAGGAUUGGCGACUGGGGUGAAGUCGUAACAAGGUACC